rnacentral:rRNA from 1 species
GACGAACGCUGGCGGCGUGCCUAAUACAUGCAAGUAGAACGCACAGUUUAUACCGUAGCUUGCUACACCAUAGACUGUGAGUUGCGAACGGGUGAGUAACGCGUAGGUAACCUGCCUGGUAGCGGGGGAUAACUAUUGGAAACGAUAGCUAAUACCGCAUAAUAUUAAUUAUUGCAUGAUAAUUAAUUGAAAGGUGCAAUUGCACCACUACCAGAUGGACCUGCGUUGUAUUAGCUAGUAGGUGAGGUAACGGCUCACCUAGGCGACGAUACAUAGCCGACCUGAGAGGGUGAUCGGCCACACUGGGACUGAGACACGGUCCAGACUCCUACGGGAGGCAGCAGUAGGGAAUCUUCGGCAAUGGACGAAAGUCUGACCGAGCAACGCCGCGUGAGUGAAGAAGGUUUUCGGAUCGUAAAGCUCUGUUGUAAGAGAAGAACGGGUGUGAGAGUGGAAAGUUCACACUGUGACGGUAUCUUACCAGAAAGGGGCGGCCAACUACGU